rnacentral:lncRNA from 1 species
GGUGUAAUGUCCCUGAACAACUUGCAGGGACCCAGGAGAAAAAAACACCAUUCAUAAGCAAAGGAUAAACUAUGGGAGUGGAAACACCGAGAAAAAGCAACUGCCUGAAUACAGAGGUUGAGGGGACAUGACAGAGGAUAGACUCUAAAUGAACACUCUAAUGCAAAUACUAUCAACAAAGCAAUGGGUUCAAAUCAAGAAAACAUCUAAUGCCCAGUGGACUUACGCGUCAGCUAUGGGGGUGGGGGGGAGGAAAAGAAAAUGAUCUAUGUCUUUAACGAAUAAUGCUUGGAAAUGAUCAAAUAAAAUAUAUUAAAUAAAAAAAAAUAAAUUUGACAAUUGAGAGAAAGUAAUUUUUAAAUAAUAUUUUGUUUUUCCCCAAUUACAUGUAAACACCAUUUUAAACUAUUUUAAAAUGAACUGGGGAGUAAAGAGGAUACUCUCCUAGGAGCAAGGUGGCAAAGUCCAGAGCCAAUUAUAGUCAGGAGGAAAGAGAAUAAAGCCUUACUGGCCUGGGGUUCAUCCCCAAAAUUGAGGGAUGAUGUCAUUUUUAAGGAAUCUGCUUACUGAUUUUCCCAAAGUGUUAAAACAAAGAAUUCAAAGACUGAUAAUGGCUGAAUUGACUAUGAAUUGGCCUUGCCUCUUUCCCAGGACUUAAUUAAAGAGGAGCUUCUGUGAACUCAGUGUAAUUUCAUUGUUGCUCCCCAUUUUUCCUAAAAUUGAUUUAAGCUCCCCACUUUCUGUAGUUUUUAUUGAACCUCAGUACAAUGUCUCUGUGUGUUUUUCCAGAUUAUAAUGUCUGUUCCAAUCAAACAUCUUUUAUUAGAACUACAUUAGUAGGAUCUUUUUCUAGGCUGACAUAUUGGAGGUCCCACCAAGAUUGGAAAUCUCAUGCCCAACUGUCUGCUAAAGUGACCACUGGACAAGCCUACAGGAACCCAUUGCAUUCCAGUCUAUAUUCAACUCAGCAAUUAGGCAUGGGUCCAAUACACACCACCAGCCAUGACACCCUGCAAAAUUUGUCUUCAAGAAUUCCAACCAUGCCUUACAAUGACUGCUCCUUCAGGUGAUAGUAUACCCUUCCAGAG